UCCCUCAAGCUCCCCCUCUCCAUGAGAGCAUCCCUCUCCUUCUUCUCCCCAAUCCUAGAUGGUUUUCUCUCCUCUUCUUCUUCCUCCCUUGCUAAGAUUGGAUCUUGAUGCAGGUGCAUGUUGGUCCAAGCAUGGAGAAGGUUGAGCUAUCCUCAGAUCUGAAGUUCUUGAGCAAAAUCCAAAUCGAGUGGUUCAAAGUUCUGCAGAUAGGGGAUAAUUGGUUUAUACCAUGGUGAUAACCGAGAGAGGCAAUUGCUAAGUUGUGACGCACUCAUACCUCUACUAGAUGCGAACACUUCCGGAGAAGAAGAAGAAGUGGAAUCGGACGGGGAUUUUAUUUUUAUUGUUGGAAUACAUAUUUGAUGGAGUUGAAGAAGUCCAGGGACAAAUAAGCCAACC